GCAUAUCAAUAAGCGGAGGAAAAGAAAAUAACAAUGAUUCCCUUAGUAACGGCGAGUGAAGGGGGAUAAGCUCAAAUUUUAAAUCUGCUAGGUCUUACCUAUCAGAGUUGUAAUUUGAAGAAGCGUUUUCCGCGUCUCGGUUGACCCAAAUCCUUUGGGAUAUGGUAUCAUGGAGGGUGAGAAUCCCGUUCGGUUGACCUUAUGACGCUUUACGAUACGUUUUCUAAGAGUCGAGUUGUUUGGGAUUGCAGCUCAAAAUGGGAGGUAAAUUUCUCCUAAGGCUAAAUAUUGGCGAGAGACCGAUAGCGAACAAGUACCGUGAGGGAAAGAUGAAAAGAACUUUGAAAAGAGAGUAAAAUAGUACGUGAAAUUGUUGAAAGGGAAACGAUUGAAGUCAGUCGUACCGACGGAAAAUCAGCUCUUUAGUGCGGACUUGUGGGCUUACGUGAGUUUUAACACCUCGCUGUUUGCAACGUUCGUGCUUUUUGGGUGUACUUUUUCGUAUGGUAGGCCAAUGUCAGUUUCGAUUGCUAUAAAAUGACCGGCGGAAUGUAGCUUCGAUCUUGUAUUGAAGUGUUAUAGCCUCUGGUAGAUGUGGUGAUCGGGACUGAGGAUUGCAACGAAUACCCUUUUGGGCUAUCCGUCUGACCUCUGAAAGUUGCUUAGGUGCCGAAAGCUUGCUUACGGUUAUUUAAGUUUGCGGUCAAAAGGUUAGAACGUGAUUACAUUCGUUAAGGAUGUUGACGUA
rnacentral:rRNA from 1 species